GUAAGUGGUGUUUUCUCUUCUUUGCUUCAGGGAGUGUUGAUUUGUCUGGUAAGUGUUCAUUUUAUUGUGGUAGGUGGUGUUGCUUCAAAAUUGCCUGAGGGAACCCAAUGAAAGCACACGUGGGCUUUAGAUAUGCUUUAUAUUGAAAAGGCUGGUGUGUGUUAAAUCUUUUUCAGAUUAAUUUUUUUUUUUUCUCUAAGAUCUUACUUUGGAUUUCUAGCAUAACAUACUUUGUUCUCAAGUUUGGAAACGGGCCCACGUGUUGAUGAAGUGUUGAUGAAAAGUUGCCUUUCACAAAUUCUUUUUAUGGGAGUCUUUUCUUUCUUUUCCUUUCUUUUGGUCACUUCUCCCUGCCUUUAUUGGAACUUUUUUUUUUUUAAUGCCCUCCAUUCAAAUUUUGAUAAACUAUGAAACUCCUGGAGACAUUUUGCUUACGUUUUUGCUACUCUGGUUGUGCUGUUCCAGCCUUUGGGUAUCCUGUUACCAGGAACCUCAUUAAUCUCCUGGCUCCCCCAGUAUGACAGUGACUUCAUCUGGAGAGUAUGACAUGGUCCAUUGGUCUUCUGCACAAUAUGGUGGUUAAGUCCUACUCCACAAUAACACUUUUUUCUUUUUUAAAUAAUUAGCUAAAUACUAGUUAGUUAACCUAUAGUGCAAUAUUGGUUUCAGGAGUAGAAUUUACUGACAAUAACAUUUUUACUAAAGUUCCUGAAGCUGGUAUGUCCCUACCUUUUCUAGUAAUACUGAUGCACCAACAUUAUUUUACAAAUUUCCUUCUGUGGAUUAGUGACUGAGAGUAGCUGUUUUUCUAGGUAUGUUGUUGAUGCAAAAAUUUCUCAUUUGAAAGAACGGGGGAGAGGUAAUCCAGAAGGGAAAUGAAUAGCAGGAAAACAAACAAACAAACAAGAAUCCUUUGACCUGUGAAUCAAAUUUCAUAAUAUAAUAUAUACAACAUCUGAUUAUUUCAUUUUAUUUUUUUAUGAUAGUCGACUUCCACUUUGAGCUGAUACAGAAAAUGCUGGACCACAUUGUCUUUUGCAUGAACUAUAGAAAUGAAAUCUCCCUGUGUCUAAUAUGUACUUGCUUAUCUUAUUGGUUUUUAGUCCAGGUUAUUGGUUUUGUCAGAAGAAUUUGUUCUUUAAAAAGAUCUGAUUUGGUUUAGCUAUAUUCACAUUUCCUCUUUAAAAAUUCACUUUCACGUUAAUUAAUUUACCUGAGAUAUAUGUGGUUUGUUGCUUGAAGGGCCUUUUGUUUAAACACUGAGAUUUAUCUGGGUUUUUGGCUUUUAAUAAUAUGACCUUAAAAUAUGUUUUACUUGUGUUUAUGUGUCUUUAAUGGAACAUAUUUGAAGAAGAGUCCCCGGAGGUCAAUUAAAUUGCUCCUGAAACAUUCAAAAGACUGUAGAUGUUGCUUAAAAUAACCUACAUGGGAUUUUGACCCCAUGCUGUUUUCAGUCCUGCAACAGAAUUUUUCUAUUAAAGAUUCUGGAUUAAAAAGAUCAGAAAACAGGAGACAGAAAGACAGGAGGGUGAAGAAGGUUAGAUUUCAACCUUGCAUAGGCUGCUCCCCAGACUUUGAAGCCUACGUGAACCGAGAUGUUGUUUGAACAGGUUGCCUAACAAUGGGCUGAAUAGGGAACCACAUUUUAAAUUGACAAAGUUAGCCCGUGCUGGGAGUUUUUUAUCCUUUGCCUCUUGACCUUUUUGGAUGCCAUAAAUGAAACAUGGUGGUGUAGGUUUGAAAAGGCCAGGGGCUACUUAUUUAUACCCCUCAUAGGAUGGAGGAAGAGAAAAAGCAAGAGUGAACAAAUGGAGUAUGUUUAACUCUGUCCCUUAACCCAGGCAGCAGUAAACAGAAAGACCCUUUGGUUUCAAUCUGUAACCCCAUUUUGGCAUGAGAUCUUCUUUGUUAUUUUUAAAUUCUGUUCACUUUAUUCAGGCAAGCCACCCAGAAAGAUCAAAUCUGAAGAAGUGGUGGAGUUUUACUUUCACUGUAAAGAGGACUUGAAAAUACCUUAUUUGAGAUGAAGUCUUGUUUUUACCUUAGGUUUCAUGAUUUGUGUUCUGCUGCUUCUAUUGUGAACACCUUCCACUUUGAAAUCAGAUGUGCCAGAGUUUCUGCCUGUGAACGGAUCUAAAAUAUCAUUAUUUUUCUUAUUAAAGAAUGCCAGUCUAGCUCUCUAUGCCGUCUAAUGGCCAUACUGACUUUCCACUGCUGGGUAAAAGUAACGGUGUGAUUAUAUGAGCGAUAAUUGCCUAGCUUUCAUUUCCACAGUGUUUGAAGAUUCUUUGGCCGUGCUGUUAGCAAAGCGAUACUACGCUUGUACAACAUUAAAUGUUUAGUUAUACUAGGUGCAUUCUGUGAUAUAGUAUUUAUUUUAUAAUCCAAAUAUGAUCAAAUAUAUUAUAGAAUUGGACUGAAUUAUGGAAGGCAUUGCCAUUCAUCUCUUUGCUUUGGUGAUUUAUGUUAGUACUGUGCUGAUAAUGAGAAAUAUAAUGCAUUCUUGUCUUCAUAAAGCCACGCUACUGGGGGAGGGGAGGGGUGGAGGGCUGUAAGACAUACCAGCACCAAAAGAAAGAAAGAGAGUGAGAAAGGGAGGAUGGGAGGAAGGGAGGAACAGAGGAAUGGAGGAAGGAAAGAAGGGAAAGAAAGACAGAAAGGAGAGAAGGAAGGGAGGGAGGGAGAGAGGAAGAAAGAAAGAACGGAAGGAAGGAAGGAAGGAAGGAAGGAAGGAAGGAAGGAAAAGAAAGAAAGGAAUGGAAUAGGAAGCAUGGUAGAGAAAACAAGUGUCUCAGAAGAAUGGGGAGCAUUGACAAUUUGAAUGCAGUUAGCUGUGCAGAAAAAAAAUGUAGUUUAUUUUUCUAGGACUGAUCAGUUCUUUCUGAGUUCUCAUCAUACCAGAGAGGGGAAAAUUUGGACUUGCUAGUUAACACAUCUCAGUCUCGUCUGAUUUAAACAGUUGCAAAUAAGUAGGUGAAGUUCAACUCCCCGCAGGUUCUGGCUCAGAUAAGCUCUGCUCUUUCUGUCCCAACUGCCACGGGGAUGCCAUGAGGAGGGCUCGGGGCAUUGCCUCUCGGUAUUGUGUUGGUUCGCACGUGUGCGCUGGCUGGGGCCCACCGAGUUGUGUCAAGGUCUGUGCGUGGCAUACAGGCUGUUUGUCUCUCCAGGCUUGGCUUGUCCUGAGGUCUGGGUAGCUCACAGUUAGGCCCCAGCUGGUAUGAUCAUCCUGUCAUCAGGGUGCAGGGACAGUUUGUGCUGGAGAGUUCACAGCCAGCACCACCGGGUGCCUUCUUUGCUUUCUGGACAGGGCACAGUGGGAUUUGGGAAUAUCUUCUAGCCAGCUCGAUGCAUUAUGGUCCUCAGGUUCCCUCGCUGCAUCCAAACAUUUGGACUUUUCAAGUUGUUCUCCGCACUCUUUGAAACAGUCUGUUCCCCUAAAUCUAAACAGGAUGAAGGAUAAAAGCCUCUUUGCCCUCGGCAUUACUCUCAGCCACUCUCACACAUCUGUCUACCAGGAUUUCAAAAGAGAGAGGAGAGGGUCAAGAUACCGUUCUCUGCUUCUUUUGCCUCCACUUUCUCUCCUCACAGCUCUUCUGGAAUGGUGUUCUGCUUUUCUUGCAUCGUCUCCUGAGUUCUCUCUACUUCUGGUAUAGAGUAACUUCUAAAAUCUGUAGACAAACUGAGCUCUUAACGUGCUAUAUGAGAGCAAAUAGGACUUUAUGAGUUUAAAGUCUAUCAGUCCUGACCUUCAUGACUGUUAACUCGGAAUCUCCCUACUGCCCUUCUUUACUUGCUUUCUUUCACUCCUACUAGCACAGAUCUAAUGCCUUCCAUGCACUAGGCAGGGGAUGUCGUGGGCUCACUAGAAAGCAACCUAUAUACACAGAAAUGCAAAAGAGGAAAGCCCAUUAGAAUGUAUCUACAAUACUGCACCCCUUCAAGGAGAUCAGUGCAGGUUCAUGAGGAUCGUGUGUCUGGUCAACAAAAGAGACAGCAUUUAUUGUUUUUGAUGGCUUGAGUUGAGGGCAUCCAGAAGGACUGGGGAUAGAACGAAGGAGACUUCGGAUGAUUGGCCAAGGAGUUCGUCAUACGGCACCACAUCCCCAAAGUGAUUUUGGCAAAGCUAUAGUCCCAUUAACUGUUGCGAGAGAUACAGAACAAAGGCCCAUUUGGGGUUGUGACAUACCGUAUGUUCCCCGUGGAGAUUCAUAACGUGUAUUAGCAUAUUAAUAUUUCAGAUUCUUCCUGCCAUGUUGGAACAUACGUAACACCAUUUGACCCACGCGGGCCAUCUCUAUGUAAUACCGAUUAACAAUCCAGAGAGUUCACUUUGAGAACUGCUGCUAAGGCACAUCGAUAAGGCUGGGAAGAAUUUUCAGUGGGAACUAAUGUAAGGAAAGCAGGGCUGUAGGAAUCUCAUUCCAUUUUUACUGAGGAAUUAAUAUAUACAAGGCACACUAUGAUUAAUCGGCCCACAAAUAUGAGUUCACGACUUAGAGUUUCUCAAAAUUACUGCCUUUCUCUUCAAGAAAUGCAAGAUGUCAGAUACUUACAGUCAGUCUGCUAUCCCGUGCAAGUAAAACAAUCAGCUUUUGUUUGGAAUAUCGAGAUAAUCACAGAAGACCUUCCAGACCUUCCUGAAAAUAAUUGCUUAUAGUAAACGGUUACUGUCCUUGGCUGGGUAGACAUGAUAUAGUAACGGUGAUGAAUAUCAAUUGUAGCUGACAUUUUAAACAUAACAUCAAGCUAUUUCAAAAUAGUCUUUCAUAGUAAUAGUGUUUAAACCAAGCCUUUUUGGUGAUCUCUGAAAGGACCUAUAUGAAAUAAUACUUGGAGGGGCCUACAUUUCAUUUUAUAAUGAAUUAUCUCCCAUUUUAAUUGAAAAUGUUACAACUUUUUAUGUUAAUCAUGAUAGAAUGCCUCAAAGGACUUUUUUAAUUAUAUUUUUUAUGGCUUGACCAAUUUUAUGUUUAAUUUUUAAUUUCUUUCUUCUUUCUUCAUAUAGUAUUCUUCUUUUUAUGUGCUUUUGUCUUCACGGAGCACCCUCGCGUAUUCAACGCAUCCUACAGCUGAUGUCAGUAGUACUAAGGCUCAAGAUCUCAAAUUCAUUCAAGGGCAUUUUAUUCGUCAAUAAUCACUAUGUCUUCUUUUUUUUUUUUUAAGGUAGCAAUUUUUUUUUUCAUAUUUUUAAGUCUUUGUAGAACAUCAAGUCCUGCAGAUCCUUGCUUUAUCAAAGAUUGUUUAUUCAACUAUGACUUCUUUGGGUUUUUUUCCUCCCCCUCUCCUUCCCUCUCUUCAUUCCUUCCUCCCUUCUUUCCUUUGGCCAUUUCAGCCAUUUGACUGUCAGAAAUCCUAUCAGGAAAUAUAAAUGGAUAUGAUAUUUGAGGAUAACGUUUUCCAGGGACAGACUAAAAGGACUGUGAAAUGUCACUCCUGAAGAGGCCCUUUGAGAACAUCCAGCCUGGUGUUUCAGUUAUAGAUGGGCACGAUGAGAACCAAGUAUUAGGAAGGCCAAAGGACUUGUCCAAGUUCACCCUGCCUUUUGGCUCUAGAACCAGCAUCAAACAGAGUUUUAAAGAAAUUUAAAACUAGGCAUUUGAGUAACAGAUGAGGAUUACCUAUGGCAAUUUCCAAUUCUGCUUAUUUUUGAUUAUGUUAAAAUCAGCCAAAAUAUAUAGCAUAGGUGGGCUCUGUUUAUGCCCCACAUCAGAACCUUCCGUCAGUGAGCUAAUGCAGUUAUAUGUUAUAGGUAAGCGCACUAUUUGCAAUGGAAAUAUUUAUAUGUAUAAUGCCUAAAAUUCCCCAAAUAUGGGCCACAAUAUAUUCCAUGGUUUAUUUAUCCAAACACAAAUACGUCUUUGAUUUUGAGUGCGAUAUAUUUUGUUAGUUGAUGUGCCAAGGAAUGGAUUAUAAUCAUGAUGAAGUUUAGACUUUCUAAUGCAAUGAAUUAUCUUCAUUUGCUAGAAAAAGUUGGAAUUGUCAAAA
rnacentral:lncRNA from 1 species